UACGAAGGGGGCUAGCGUUGCUCGGAAUUACUGGGCGUAAAGGGCUCGUAGGCGGCCAACUAAGUCGGACGUGAAAUCCCCAGGCUCAACCUGGGAACUGCGUCCGAUACUGGAUGGCUUGAAUCCGGGAGAGGGAUGCAGAAUUCCAGGUGUAGCGGUGAAAUGCGUAGAUAUCUGGAGGAAUACCGGUGGCGAAGGCGGCAUCCUGGACCGGCAUUGACGCUGAGGAGCGAAAGCUAGGGGAGCAAACGGG
rnacentral:rRNA from 1 species